rnacentral:rRNA from 1 species
GAUGAACGCUGGCGGUAUGCCUAACACAUGCAAGUCGUACGAGAGUUUUUAACUCUAGUGGCGACGGGUGAGUAACACGUGAGAAUUUGCCUUUAGGAGGGGGACAACAAUUGGAAACGAAUGCUAAUACCCAUAUGCUUUCGAGUGAAAUGGAUUUUAUCCGCCUAGAGAGAAGCUCGCGGCUGAUUAGCUUGUUGGUAAGGUAAGAGCUUACCAAGGCGACGAUCAGUAUCUGGUUUGAGAGGACGAUCAGACACACUGGAACUGAGACACGGUCCAGACUCCUACGGGAGGCAGCAGUGGGGAAUUUUCCGCAAUGGGCGAAAGCCUGACGGAGCAAUACCGCGUGAGGGAAGAAUGCCUAUGGGUUGUAAACCUCUUUUUUCAGGGAGGAAUAAAAUGACGUGUACCUGAAGAAUAAGCAUCGGCUAACUCCGUG